GGAGGAAAAUUUUUUAGAUUUUGCCUGUUUCACAUCAUAGUAGCUGUGGGUUGGUCAUGUAUGGUCUGUAUUGUGCUGAGCUGUUUUGCAGAUAGUCACAUGCCACGUUGAAUGAGAAUCUAGAGUUCCUCUCUUCCUGAACAAAUGAAGAAGAAAUAUAUUCCUGAUGCUGGUUAAGUAUGUAGACACAGCCGUGCUUGAAGCCAGCUCUUCCAUGAGUGAACUCAUCCAACCCUAGUUUUUUGAGCGAGUGGAAUCUCAUCUGAUGCCCCAGACCCCCAGAUGCUGGUCUCACCUUCCAUUUGCUCAGACGCUGGGUUCCACAUCCACUGCUGGCCUUUAGAUUGGUCGACACCUGCCUCAUGUACCUGCUGGAGCAGUGUGGGACCACCAUUCACAGUCCUCUGGCUUCCACUCAGCUGACACUCCUGAGGCAACAGGAGGUCUGAACCUGCUACAGCCAAGGCCCAUGGUUCUUCAGGGUAUGCAGGUGUGCCAGGUGCCACUGGAGAUCCCAGAGUUUGACCUACUGGACCAGAACUCCCUGCAUGAAUCCCAGGAGCAGACACUGAUGAAGGAGGGGCCACCCCAUCCCCAGCACAACUACAAGUAAUCAGUUCUAUGUCCAUGCCCAGCAAGAAGCAGUUACUGAAGAUGGACCUUUGCCCAUAUGCUCAAAAGGGAUCUUAUAAAAUGGGUGAAUGAAGAGAACAAGGCUGUAGCCAUUUCUCCCCUGAUUUUGCCCCACAUGAUUUUACAAUCUAGAUUGUUAACUUUCUCGUAAUUCAUUGGUCUGAUUAUCCCACGUACUUUCAUUACUUAAGAAUAGUUCUGCUGCCAUUUGCUCUCUCUCUCACUCUUCUCACUCUCACUCUUGCUCUCUCUCUCUCACCCUUCAGGGAUGACACUCUGCUCAUUUGCUUAAUAAAAACACUCUCUCUCUCUCUCUCUCUCUCUCUCUCUCUCUCUCUCUCUCUCUCUCCAUCACCUUUCAGGGCAGGGCAGACACACUGCUUGUCUGCUUAAUAAAAUCUCUUGUGUGAGUUCCUGCAUCUGGAGUGGUUUUCUGGGUGCUUUCAGAGUGUUAUUAAGCCAUAAAGAAGAAUUGGAAACCUGUAAUUUUCAGCAAAAUGGAAGGAAAUGGAGGACAUAAGGUUCAGGAAAAUAAGUCAGAUGCAGAAACA